rnacentral:rRNA from 1 species
UGGGGAAUUGUUCGCAAUGGGCGCAAGCCUGACGACGCAACGCCGCGUGGAGGAUGAAGGUCUUCGGAUUGUAAACUCCUGUUGAUCGGGACGAAAAGCUUCAACCUAAUACGUUGAAGACUGACGGUACCGGUUGAGGAAGCCACGGCUAACUCUGUGCCAGCAGCCGCGGUAAUACAGAGGUGGCAAGCGUUGUUCGGAAUUACUGGGCGUAAAGGGCUCGUAGGCGGCCAACUAAGUCAGACGUGAAAUCCCUCGGCUUAACCGGGGAACUGCGUCUGAUACUGGAUGGCUUGAAUCCGGGAGAGGGAUGUGGAAUUCCAGGUGUAGCGGUGAAAUGCGUAGAUAUCUGGAGGAACACCGGUGGCGAAGGCGGCAUCCUGGACCGGUAUUGACGCUGAGUGAGCGAAAGCCAGGGGAGCAAACGGGAUUAGAUACCCAGGUAGUCCCUGAGCGGGCUGGCAAGGCGCAU